AUUGAACGCUGGCGGCAUGCCUUACACAUGCAAGUCGAACGGCAGCACGGGUGCUUGCACCUGGUGGCGAGUGGCGAACGGGUGAGUAAUACAUCGGAACAUGUCCUGUAGUGGGGGAUAGCCCGGCGAAAGCCGGAUUAAUACCGCAUACGAUCUACGGAUGAAAGCGGGGGACCUUCGGGCCUCGCGCUAUAGGGUUGGCCGAUGGCUGAUUAGCUAGUUGGUGGGGUAAAGGCCUACCAAGGCGACGAUCAGUAGCUGGUCUGAGAGGACGACCAGCCACACUGGGACUGAGACACGGCCCAGACUCCUACGGGAGGCAGCAGUGGGGAAUUUUGGUCAAUGGGCGAAAGCCUGAUCCAGCAAUGCCACGUGUGUGAAGAAGGCCUUCGGGUUGUAAAGCACUUUUGUCCGGAAAGAAAUCCUUGGCCCUAAUACGGUCGGGGGAUGACGGUACCGGAAGAAUAAGCACCGGCUAACUACGUG
rnacentral:rRNA from 1 species